rnacentral:rRNA from 1 species
GUCUUUUAGAUUUAAAUUAAAAGUCUAAUCUGCCCAAUGAUUAUUGAAUGGCCGCAGUAAACUGACUGUGCAAAGGUAGCAUAAUAAUUAGUCUUUUAAUUGAAGGCUUGAAUGAAUGAUUGGACGAGAAUUUAACUUUAUUUUAAUCAUUGUUUGAAUUUGAUUAUUAAGUAAAAAAGCUUAAAUAAUUGUGUGGGACGAGAAGACCCUAUAGAGCUUAAGAAAAAAAAUUAAUUAAUUAGUUUUGGAGUUUUUUAUUAAAUAAAUUAAUUUGUUUUUUAUGUUGGGGUGACAUUGAAAUAAUUUUAACUUUCAAUAAAUUUUUCAUUAAUUUAUGUUUUCUAGAUCCUACAAUUAAGAUUAAAAGAAUAAGUUACCUUAGGGAUAACAGCAUAAUUAAGUUGAAGAGUUCAAAUCGAUAACUUAGUUUGUGACCUCGAUGUUGGAUUAAGAAAAGAUUUUGGAGCAAAUUUUAUAAAGCUUGGUCUGUUCGACCAUUAAAUUCUU